rnacentral:rRNA from 1 species
GAUGAACGCUGGCGGCGUGCCUAACACAUGCAAGUCGAGCGAGAAAUGAAGAGAAGAAACUUCGGUAGAUUUUCAUCAUGGAAAGCGGCGGACGGGUGAGUAACGCGUAGGCAACCUGCCCCGUACAGGGGGAUAGCCAUCGGAAACGAUGAUUAAGACCCCAUAAAGCGGAAUAUACACAUGUAAAAACCGUCAAAGAUUUAUCGGUAUGGGAUGGGCCUGCGUCUGAUUAGAUAGUUGGUAGGGUAACGGCCUACCAAGUCAACGAUCAGUAGCCGACCUGAGAGGGUGAACGGCCACAUUGGAACUGAGACACGGUCCAAACUCCUACGGGAGGCAGCAGUGGGGAAUAUUGCACAAUGGAGGGAACUCUGAUGCAGCAACGCCGCGUGAAGGAAGAAGGUCUUCGGAUCGUAAACUUCUGUCCAAAAGGAAGAAGGAAGUGACGUACUUUGGA